rnacentral:rRNA from 1 species
GACGAACGCUGGCGGCGUGCCUAAUACAUGCAAGUCGAGCGAAGUUUUUCUGGUGCUUGCACCGGAAAAACUUAGCGGCGAACGGGUGAGUAACACGUAAAGAACCUGCCUCAUAGACUGGGACAACUAUUGGAAACGAUAGCUAAUACCGGAUAAUAGCAUUAACUGCAUGGUUGAUGUUUAAAAGUUGGUUUUGCUAACACUAUGAGAUGGCUUUGCGGUGCAUUAGCUAGUUGGUGGGGUAAAGGCCUACCAAGGCGACGAUGCAUAGCCGACCUGAGAGGGUGAUCGGCCACACUGGGACUGAGACACGGCCCAGACUCCUACGGGAGGCAGCAGUAGGGAAUCUUCCGCAAUAGGCGAAAGCCUGACGGAGCAACGCCGCGUGAGUGAAGAAGGAUUUCGGUUCGUAAAGCUCUGUUGUUAGGGAAGAAUGAUUGUGUAGUAACUAUACACAGUAGAGACGGUACCUAACCAGAAAGCCACGGCUAACUACGUG